CCGAGAAUAGCUCAGUUGGUAGAGCGGGAGACUGUAGUGUAUAAGUUAUCUCUAGGUCCCUGGUUCAAAUCCGGGUUCUCGGA